UCCUCUAGAUUCGUUAUUCUUCCCCACCCCAACCACUCCACCCCUGUCUUUCUCUGUCUCUCUUCCGAUGGACUACUCGGGCGGCGCUUCGGCGUCGGGGAGGGCCCGCGCGCGGUGGUGCUACUGCCGCUUCUUCCGCCGGUGGUGCCGCUGCUUCUGCGGCUGCUACUGCUGCAACUGCUUCCCCGACGAGCCCCACGGCGACCCCCGCUUUAGGGCUCUCCGCCCUCCGUGCUCCCAGCCUCCAAGGGACACUUGCAUGUAGGCAGAUGAGCUCCAUGAGAAAAUGUACCGAGUCUUGUCAUCAUGUACACUAGGCAAAUAGCUACCUUGCUGUUCAAAUAGAUGUGGAAGAAGAUGUUUAGCUUCUGGGCUUUUUUCCAUUGUAUAUUUGCUAGACAAGAAAUGUAUUACUUACCCUGUGGUGAGGCUGUUUAAAGUACUUUGCUGAUAAGGUUAGCUAGAAGUCCCAAUGAUGGUGGGAAUCGAAGUCGUAGUUCUUGUUAUACUUGCUAAUCUGUGUAUCAUGGUUAGCUAAACCAAAUUUAAAUGCUGCUUGUAUUAUACAACUGGUACUUCUACAUGUUCGUCUGAAUGUACAUAAAGUGAAUUAUAU